GAUGAACGCUGACAGAAUGCUUAACACAUGCAAGUCAACUUGAACUUCGGUUUGGGUGGCGGACGGGUGAGUAACGCGUAAAGAACUUGCCUCACAGUUAGGGACAACAUUUGGAAACGAAUGCUAAUACCUGAUAUUAUGAUUUUAGGGCAUCCUAGAAUUAUGAAAGCUAUAUGCGCUGUGAGAGAGCUUUGCGUCCCAUUAGCUAGUUGGAGAGGUAACGGCUCACCAAGGCGAUGAUGGGUAGCCGGCCUGAGAGGGUGAACGGCCACAAGGGGACUGAGACACGGCCCUUACUCCUACGGGAGGCAGCAGUGGGGAAUAUUGGACAAUGGACCAAGAGUCUGAUCCAGCAAUUCUGUGCGCACGAUGAAGUUUUUCGGAAUGUAAAGUGCUUUCAGUUGGGAAGAAAAAAAUGACGAUACCAACAGAAGAAGUGACGGCUAAAUACGUG
rnacentral:rRNA from 1 species